rnacentral:snRNA from 9 species
AUUCUUACCUGGCAUAGGGGAUACUGUAGACCGUAAUCAUGCAGGCGGUUUCCCCAGGGCGAGGCUGCUCCAUUGCACUGCGGAGUGGUUGACCCUUGCGAUUAUUUUAAUGUUUAUCAAUAAAAUAAUCAUAAAAAAAUGUAUACCCGAAUAACUAUUUUCUUUAUAC